rnacentral:lncRNA from 1 species
GGUGAAUCAGAUCGCCUGACAAAGUUCCUACAUAUGCGGAUUAUAGGUGGAGGUUCAUAUCCAACCUAAACUUAUUCAUCUCAAAUGACCUAUCAUUGUACGCAGUGGCAAUGCGAUUUGGCACCUAGAAAUAACAUCUAGCCGAGCUCAAGGAUUGGAGAUCCGUUUCAAUCCUGCCGAGCUCAAGGAUUGCAAUUUCGUGUCAAUCCUGGUACACAGUCACGAGCUGUAGUACAACAAAAUUCAAUGAUGGUGGGUCGUAGAUGAAAAGUAAAGCUGCAUGCAAAUAUUGCAUAGCCCCAAGACGCAAUAGAAAGAGUGGUGUGCAUCAAUAAUGUUCGAGCGACAAGCUAAAGUUGCUUGGUCGUAGCCUCGGUGAGACCGUAUUGCGUGUGAACAUGGGGUACAGGACACUUCAACUUACAUCCCGAUGAACUUCUUUAAAGAAUGGGUAGUGAGCCCGUAGAAGUAUAAGCAACAUAAGCAGUAGAUAAUAGUGUAACACGUGACCAGUGUGCUAACACUUCAACCAACACCAUAAAACAUAAAAGGUGUCCGCAAGUUGGUUGUAUCUAUCUACAUAAUUUUAUGUAAGAAUAGAAUGUUCACUUUUGUGUUAUUUAGCAUAGGAGGGUCUCACUCCUAAUUUAGCUAAAGAAUAGGCUUUCAAAACGAGCAAUGAGCAUUGCAGGGGGCCAAUGCGACAUCGAGGAAAGGCCGGUGCACCUCAAUUGCUUGAGGAAUUGACCGGACGACCUCCAGGAAGUUGAAGUCGUGUUCGGGUGACGUCAAUGUCCCCCGGGUCACCACCAUGCUUCAUGGUGAUGCUAGGUCUCGAAUGUCUUCGUUUUGAGCGGAAGAAUGGAUGUCCAUGAGAAUUUCUCAAAAUUUGGAUCAUUAUAUCUCUUCCAGGUUGACCAAUUUAGUCAAACCAAAGCCUAUAUGAGUCAGUGUCCCAAAUAUCAUGUUUGGUGACAACAUGAGAUUCGAUAUUCGAAUUAUAGUGACAUACAGUCCACUAGAUUGACUCAUGAAUUUCUCCAAGAUGCGCUUUAGUCCGCAUUCAUGAGAAGGUAUACACAAAAGAAUUCUUGUUCAUUCUCACAAUGUGUUUUCAAAUGAAAACUAUUAGCAUGAAUGUCUUUAAAGCUCAACAUGGUUCCUUAGAAUGUUGUGGAUAAUUCCACUAUCUGCGAAGCACUCAAUGUCUCUAUGGGACAUAACUACAAGGACUAGAUAGGCGAGUAAAUAGUUCUACUUGAACCAUUUAGAAGGAUUGAAAGAAGCUACGAAAAGUUGCAAUCCCGAGAGUGCAUAAAAAUUUCCGCGCAGAAUGACCUUUGCGCACUAAAACAGCCAUAACUUCUUCGUUAAAAUAGAUAUGGACGAACCGUGAAAAGAUCUGAAAACUAGACUCGUAGAGCUUUCCAAUGAUAUAAAGCUCACUGUCUGGUUCGUCCGGAGCUGUUCAAAAAUCUCAAACGAAGUUGACUGUCCAGAAGGGACAGAUUGUUGUUUUUCGCAGAUUUGGCAUGUGCGAAGCUGUGAAGCUUGCAGGUGGCGUGUAGGCUUUUGCCUUAGCCAAAAGUGACGUGUGUAUGAUCAAAACCAAGUCCUUUCGGUCGUUCUAAGGUCGUAAACUCCCUGACUAGUUAGCAAAAGCUCCCUGACAUGAACAUAAACUAACUCAGAGGACCUAGAGGAUCCGAUCAUGAUGAUAAUUUUCCAGCUUUGAUAAGUCUUCAACGUCUUUUGCAAGACGGCAAUUGGUUUAAUAGCGUAGGGGGAUCCAAAAUCAAAAGCUUUCAGUAACUUCAAGUCAGUAUGACCAGGCAUGUCCGUGGAGGGUCGGUAGUGCGAGACACACUUAAAACCACUAUCUCCUUAAUUUCGGACAAUUCUAAGACAUCACACUGAGCUUGGAUGAGCCUAGUUGAACAAUUGAUGAUGAAAAAUCCACUAUAGGGUAGAAGACUUAACCGGAAACAAGUGGGCGAUCCUCCUUGAGGAUGCAGUGCCAAGAGUCACCUUCAAAGGNNNNNNNNNNNNNNNNNNNNUUAUGAGACUCGAUAGAGGUCACAAACGAUGCUUUUAAUGGUUUGUCCUUCGGAUUGAUCAUACACAAUCCGGAAAAGCCGCGAAUUGAUCAAACACAAUUCGGAAAAAGGCCUCAGAUUGAUCAAACACAAUCCGGUGAAAGGUCGGGGUUGAUCAAACACAACCCGGACAAAGAAACAAGAGUGAUCCAACAUACUCUUGACCCGCGAAUAAAAUUCCGGGAUUUUUGGUACCUGCACACACAAAAUCCCAAGCAUAGAAUGGAGAUGGAGAAGGGAGGAAAGGAUUUUAUCCUCCCCGAGUUAUUGAACUUGGAAGAGUUUAAGGUUUCAAAACAUACCUUUCUAAAGGCUGCCGAGAGGAGAAAUAACGUUUCGCCUACUUAUACUUCGAAUUUGGGGCUGAAAAUUUGAUAGGAGCAGCUCUGGAUGGGGAAGCUUCUGUCAAAAUUUCAGGUUGAUCGGAGCAAGGGAAGGUGGUGAACCGGUGGUCGGUAGCGGCGGCGGUCUGGAAUUUUCCGGCGGCCGGUUCGGAGACUUUCCGGCCGGUUCUCAGGGUGAGGCCGGCGGCGUUGGAUCCGUGACGGAAAGAACUUUCUGGGGAUAUAAAAUUCCGGCGGAGGGCAGUCGGAAUUUUGGUCGGAAAUCGGGAAAAACAAGGCUGCCCAAUUUUAGGGUUUUGGUUUUUAGGGUUUGGAAAAAAAAUGGUGGGCUAUUGGCUCUAGGGUUAGAACAAAGUGCAUGAUAACGUGAUGAAGGAUUAAUGGUAGAGAUAAAGAGAUGGCAAGAGAAUCAUCAUCUUAUUCAUUGAUAAGAGCCCUUUAUAUAGGAAAUUACACAAUACCAAUAUGGUAAGGAUAUGAAUACAUAGAUCUAGUCUAACUACAUAUCCUAUUGGCAUAAGGCCAAGACACACAUAGAGAAUAAUUAUUAUUGUCAUAUUAAAAUUAAUAGAGGGUACUUUAU